AUACAUAGGGGGCAAGCGUUAUCCGGAAUUAUUGGGCGUAAAGAGUGCGUAGGUGGUUAGUUAAGUCUGACGUGAAAUCCCCUGGCUUAACCAGGGAGGGUCGUUGGAAACUGGCUGACUUGAAUCCAGAAGGGGUAAGUGGAAUUCCAUGUGUAGCGGUAAAAUGCUUAGAUAUAUGGAGGAACACCAGUGGCGAAGGCGGCUUACUGGUCUGGAAUUGACACUGAUGCACGAAAGCGUGGGUAGC
rnacentral:rRNA from 1 species